CCUACGGGUGGCAGCAGUGGGGAAUAUUGGACAAUGGGCGAAAGCCUGAUCCAGCCAUGCCGCGUGUGUGAAGAAGGCCUUCGGGUUGUAAAGCACUUUCAGUGGGGAAGAAAGCCUUGGGGCUAAUACCCUCGAGGAAGGACAUCACCCACAGAAGAAGCACCGGCUAACUCCGUGCCAGCAGCCGCGGUAAUACGGAGGGUGCGAGCGUUAAUCGGAAUUACUGGGCGUAAAGCGCGCGUAGGCGGUCUGAUAAGCCGGUUGUGAAAGCCCCGGGCUCAACCUGGGAACGGCAUCCGGAACUGGCAGGAUAGAGUGCAGGAGAGGAGGGUAGAAUUCCCGGUGUAGCGGUGAAAUGCGUAGAGAUCGGGAGGAAUACCAGUGGCGAAGGCGGCCUUCUGGACUGACACUGACGCUGAGGUGCGAAAGCGUGGGUAGCAAACAGGAUUAGAUACCCCGGUAGUC
rnacentral:rRNA from 1 species